rnacentral:rRNA from 1 species
ACCUCCUUCUCCCUCCUCUGUGUGUCAAUAUUUAUAGAGUAAAAGUSRUWACAAGGUUUYCGUAGGUGAMCUGCGGAAGGAUCAUUAUUGAAACUUCUUUGGAAAUAGCACUGUUGCUGGCCUUGUAAUGAGGUAUGUGCACGUCUAUUACCAAUUUAUUCAUCCACCUGUGCACUUUUUGUAGGAGUUUUUUUGAAGCUAUUUUGUACUUGUGCAAUUUGGCUUUGAAAGGCUUCUAUGUCUUAUAAACCCAUUAGUAUGUCUCUGAAUGUUUUUUAUUGGGACUUGAUUGGCCCUUUAAACUUGUACAACUUUUAGCAACGGAUCUCUUGGCUCUCCCAUCGAUGAAGAACGCAGCGAAAUGCGAUAAGUAAUGUGAAUUGCAGAAUUCAGUGAAUCAUCGAAUCUUUGAACGCACCUUGCGCCCUCUGGUAUUCCGGAGGGCAUGCCUGUUUGAGUGUCAUUAAAUUCUCAACUUCAAUAGCUUUUACUAGCUUAUUGAUGAUUGGAUGUGGGAGCUUGCUGGCGUCUUAGAUGUUCGGCUCUCCUUAAAGUUAUUAGUGGAAACCUCUUUGUUAGGUUAUUCCUUGGUGUGAUAAUUAUCUACGCUUUGGAAAAUCUAAUGUUCCAUUGAGACUUGAGAUUUUCUCAGUAGAAAUACUGGUCUGGGUACUGCAAUUAGUUUUGCUGUAUCUGUGUAAUCUCUCAGUAGCAAUACUGGUUUGGGCAUUGCAUUUUGCUUUACCUGGAGUCUCAGAGGAAAAAGGGAAGCUCUGCUCUCUAACUGUCUAUUGUUAUAUGGACAAUUUAUUUGACUAUUUGACCUCAAAUCAGGUAGGACUACCCGCUGAACUUAAGCAUAUCAAUAAGCGGAGGAAAAGAAACUAACAAGGAUUCCCCUAGUAACUGCGAGUGAAGAGGGAAAAGCUCAAAUUUAAAAUCUGGCAGUCUUUGAUUGUCCGAGUUGUAAUUUAGAGAAAKGUYACCCGAGUUGGAUCUGUCCACAAAAAACUGCUCUCGAGA